CUCCCUGGACACUGUUCUUUGUUGGAUAUUGUUGGGAGUGUGCUGAAAAACUUCAAGUUUCACAAAAGUUGAGAACUGGCUCUUCUGGAAACUGGAUUUUGGAAAACUAGACUGAUGCUCCCAAAAGUUCCUAAUGUAAUAAUACAGGCUUGACCUACUUUGUGAUCCCAAACCCUGGAAUUU
rnacentral:lncRNA from 1 species